rnacentral:rRNA from 1 species
AUUGAACGCUGGCGGCAGGCCUAACACAUGCAAGUCGGGCGGAUGAAGGGAGCUUGCUCCUGGAUUCAGCGGCGGACGGGUGAGUAAUGCCUAGGAAUCUGCCUGGUAGUGGGGGAUAACAUCCGGAAACGGGCGCUAAUACCGCAUACGUCCUGAGGGAGAAAGUGGGGGAUCUUCGGACCUCACGCUAUCAGAUGAGCCUAGGUCGGAUUAGCUAGUUGGUGGGGUAAAGGCCUACCAAGGCGACGAUCCGUAACUGGUCUGAGAGGAUGAUCAGUCACACUGGAACUGAGACACGGUCCAGACUCCUACGGGAGGCAGCAGUGGGGAAUAUUGGAAAAUGGGCGAAAGCCUGAUCCAGCCAUGCCGCGUGUGUGAAGAAGGUCUUCGGAUUGUAAAGCACUUUAAGUUGGGAGGAAGGGCAGUAAGUUAAUACCUUGCUGUUUUGACGUUACCAACAGAAUAAGCACCGGCUAACUUCGUG